GAUGAAGAACGUAGCGAAAUGCGAUAAGUAGUGUGAAUUGCAGGAUUCAGUGAAUCAUCGAAUCUUUGAACGCACAUUGCGCCUCUCGGUAUUCCGGGAGGUAUGCCUGUUCGAGCGUCAUUUGUACCCUCAAGCUCUGCUUGGUGUUGGGUGUUUGUUCCGCCUCUGUGUGUGAACUCGCCUCAAAACAAUUGGCAGCCGGCGUACUUGUUUCGGAGCGCAGCACAUUUUGCGAUCCAGAUCAACGUACAGCGGCAUCCAAGAAGCCUUAUUUAACGCUCUUGACCUCGGAUCAGGUAGGGAUACCCGCUGAACUUAAGCAUAUCAAUAAGCGGAGGA
rnacentral:misc_RNA from 1 species